rnacentral:rRNA from 1 species
CGGGGGUACACGAGCGGCGGAAGGGUCAGUAACGCGUGGAUUAUCUACCUCCCGGUCAGGGACAACCGCGCUAACGCGCGGCUAAUACCUGAUAAUGUCUCCGGACCAAAGGUGUGAUUCCGCCAGGAGAUGAGUCCGCGUCCUAUUAGCUAGUUGGUGGGGUAAUGGCCCACCAAGGCCGAGAUGGGUAGCAGGUGUGAGAGCACGACCUGCGACACUGGGACUGAGAUACUGCCCAGACACCUACGGGUGGCUGCAGUCGAGAAUCUUCUGCAAUGGGCGCAAGCCUGACAGAGCGACGCCGCGUGCGGGAUGAAGGCCUUCGGGUUGUAAACCGCUGUCAGUGGGGAGCAAAUGCUAGGGGGUACUCCCCCUAGUUUGAGCGAUCCGCAGGGGAAGCGCAGGCUAAGUUCGUGCCAGCAGCCGCGGUAAGACGAACUGCGCAAACGUUAUUCGGAAUCACUGGGCUUAAAGAGUCCGUAGGCGGCGCGU